rnacentral:tRNA from 1 species
GUUCCGGUAGCUCAGCCUGGUAGAGCACCGCCUCGACACGGCGGAGGUUCGCUGGUUCGAACCCAGCUCGGAACACGA